CAAAUUUUUUUCUUAGAUUAUUUAAAUUUUGUGAUUUAUUAUUAUUUUUUAUUUAUUUAAAUGUUAAGUGUGAUGAAUUGUUUUAUUUAAAUGUUGUUUAUAGUUGUUGUUUGUCUUAUUUGAUUGUUUGUUAUUUUAUUUAAUUGUUAAAAUUGUUUGGUAUAAUCUUUUUGAAUUUAAUUGCUUGUUUGGUUAUUUAUUUUAAUAUGUGAAUAAUUGUGUAACAUGUUUAUUUAACCAUUAGUGUUAAAUUUUAAAUAAGUGUGACAAUUAAUGUGAUUAUGUGAGAUUUGGUUGAAUGCACUAAGGUGCAUGGUAGAUAGUAAUGUACUCUAGUGAUCUAGUGUGUGCAAGUACAUGGCAAUAAGGUGCACAUGUGUGGAUUUUCUACACAUUUUAAAUUAUCAUAUAUUAUAUAUAAUUGAUUGAUUUUAUUUAAAUGAAAGAAAAAUAAAUAAGAAGGAAGAAAAGAGGCAAGUAAGUGGCGUGUAGCACAUUAUGGGAUUGAUUGAUAUGUUUUCCAAUUUUUUUUUAGUGAAUAAAGUUAGAUUGGAUAAGAUAAUCAAUUUGGGGAAAUCACUAUUAUUCCAAUCAAUUAUCAUAAAAGAAAAUUAAAAUAAAAUUAAAGGAAAAUAGAGAAGAAAGGAAACUUGCCAUUUUCUUUUAGUGGUGGCUUUAUGGAAAUGAGAAGUUAAAAAGGGGAUUAUGAAGGGAAUAGGCCAUUUUGGCCGUGACAUCUAGAGAGGGUAGAGAGAGAGGGAGGCGAGCUAGAGAGAGAGAAAGGAAGGCUGCCAUAUUUUUCUAGAGAAGAAGAAGAAAAGAAAGAGAAGGAGAAGAGGGUUUCGAACCCUAGGUGACAAGGUUUUCUUGCUAGAGUGUUCUUGAUUCAACAAUCAAGAGAGGUAAUGGUUUUUCUUAGCCUAUAUAUUGGUUUUGAUGGGUUUAUCUUUGAGGUUGUUGAUGGUGAUGUUAAUGGUUUGAUUAUUGUAGGAUUGGUGAUUAUGAUUUGUAUUUUUAAGGGAAUAUGUUUUGUUUAAAAAGGGCUCAUGGGAAUGAUUGGGAAAAUGGAUUUAAUGGGG